rnacentral:rRNA from 1 species
GUUUUCCGUGGUCAAGCGUGCGGCCCGCUCCCCAGGCAAAUCCGGGGGGCGUGAGGGCGAGGCGCGAUGAUGGGGCCGUAAGGCCGAAUCCGGUGAUCCCAUGCCGUCGAGAAAAGCUUCGGCGUCAGGCGCGGUGCCGCCCGUACCCCAAACCGACACUGGUGGUCUGGUAGAGUAUACCGAAGCGAUCGAGCGAAUCCUGGUCAAGGAACUCGGCAAAUUACUCCCGUGCCUUCGGUAUAAGGGAGACCCCUCGGGGUGAACGUCCUCGCGACGGGAGCUUUGGGGGGUGGCACAGGCCAGGGGGUAGCGACUGUUUACCAAAAACACAGGAGCGUGCGAAGGCGCAAGCCGCUGUAUACGCUCUGACGCCUGCCCGGUGCCGGAAGGUUAAGAGGAUCCGUCAGCCUUCGGGUGAAGCGGUGAAUUCAAGCCCCGGUAAACGGCGGUGGUAACUAUAACCAUCCUAAGGUAGCGAAAUUCCUUGUCG